rnacentral:rRNA from 1 species
GACGAACGCUGGCGGCGUGCUUAACACAUGCAAGUCGAACGGAAAGUCCCUGCUUUUUUGGGGUGCUCGUUUUGCGAUCGUGUGUGUAACACUUGUUUAACCUUCCCUUUACUUUGUUAUAUCUUCAGGUAACUGGUGCUAUUACCGGAUAUGAGCUCCUGCUGCAUGUUGUUGGUUGGUUUGUUUCGGCGGUUGGGGAUGGACUCGCUGCUUAUCAGCUUGUUGGUUGGGUAGUGGCUUUCCAAGGCUUUGACGGGUAGCCGGCAUGAGAGGGUGACCGGCGACAUUGGGACUGAGAUACGGCCCAGACUGCUACGGGAGGCAGCAGUGGGGAAGAUUGCACAAUGGGCGGAAGCCUGAUGCAGCAAAGCAGCGUGCGGGAUGAAGGCCUUCGGGUUGUAAACAGCUUUCGAAUGUGACGAAGAGUGAGUGACGGUAAUGGGUAAAGAAGCACCGGCUAACUACGUG